rfam:Triticum aestivum genome assembly, contig: Triticum_aestivum_CS42_TGACv1_scaffold_198235_3AL
GUAGUACUCCCUCCGUCCGGAAAUACUUGUCAUCAAAAUGAAUACAAUGAGAUGUAUCUAAAUGUAUAUUAGUUCCAGAUACAUCUUUUUUAUCCAUUUUGAUGACAAGUAUUUUUGGACGGAGGGAGUACUUG